UACAGAGGGUGCAAGCGUUAAUCGGAAUUACUGGGCGUAAAGGGUGCGUAGGUGGUUAAUUAAGUCAGAUGUGAAAUCCACGGGCUUAACCUGGGAAUUGCAUUUGAAACUGGUUGACUAGAGUACGGUAGAGGGAAGUGGAAUUUCCGGUGUAGCGGUGAAAUGCGUAGAUAUCGGAAGGAACAUCAGUGGCGAAGGCGACUUCCUGGACCGUUACUGACACUGAGGCACGAAAGCGUGGGGAGCGAACAGG
rnacentral:rRNA from 1 species